rnacentral:rRNA from 1 species
AGUAGUUUGAUCAUGGCUACGAGGACGACGCUGGCGGUGUGCUUCACACAUGCAAGUCGAACGAGGUAGCAAUACCUAGUGGCGGACGGGUGAGUAACGCGUGGGAAUCUGCCUUUAGAUGGGGGAUAACGGGUCGAAAGACUCGCUAAUACCGCAUAUGACGAAAGUUGAAAGGAGUAAUCCGUCUAAAGAUGAGCCCGCGUCCGAUUAGCUAGUUGGUAGAGUAAAAGCCUACCAAGGCGACGAUCGGUAGCUGGUCUGAGAGGAUGAUCAGCCACAAUGGGACUGAGACACGGCCCAUACUCCUACGGGAGGCAGCAGUGGGGAAUUUUACGCAAUGGGCGAAAGCCUGACGUAGCGACACCGCGUGAGCGAAGAAGCCCCUUGGGGUGUAAAGCUCUGUCAGCUGGAACGAAAAAAUGACGGUACCAGCAGAGGAAGCAUCGGCUAACUACGUG